CUGUGAUAGUUUGUCCCUUUUAUCAAACAUUCCUGCUGUUAUAAUUUGUACAGCAUUUGUUGUUUCUUAAACUGUUGCACUGUCCAAAUACCCACACUUGCCAUCUUUGCACUUGACCACUUGAUUACUUAUUUGAAGUCUUUCCUGUAUUUGGCCUAGUGUUCGAGUGAGCAUGAUGACCACGAGUGUGUGUCGAACUUUUCAUGACCUGAUGACUGUGUUUCCCAAUCCUGAUCCUGGAGAACCCCAGCACUGCACGGUUUUGGCGUCUCUCUUAUCUGCCUUGGAGUCUUCACUGAUGAGCUGAUGAGUUGAAUCAGGUCUAAAAUAUCAAGCUCAACAACUCACUCAAGAGCCAACCCUCACAAACCUUCCUAAAAACUAAAAGAGCUAUUACUGAGUCUCAGCGAAUCUUGCCAUGAUCAGCUCUUCCCAGAAGAGAAGGAAGACCAAGGAAAUGAUUUGCUCAGGAUGAGAAAUGAAGAUGGCCAUCUUGUGCUCAAACAAACAGAAGUCCUCUGAUGAUCUCAUCAGCCAAAUGAGGGGUUUUGACCAAGUGAUGCUCUUGAAAGGACUGAAAGAAGAGGAUGUGCUAAAUUCUCUUCAGAGAAAAAGCUUCUCAAAAGGUCUCAAAACAGCUUGAAGAAUGGUCUGGGAUCUUAGGACUGAGAGAUCUUCUGGCUGAGAGAAGCUACACCACAUCAGUGCUGGAUAUCAGCCACAAACUGUUUCCAGACACGAGAGAAGAAGAUCAUGAUGGGGAGAUGAAACCAGUUUAGAUGUGAUGAUGGGAAUCAUUAUUUUCUGGAACAGUAUCUCAUGUCUUAUAUGUAUCACAUGAUCUGUAUCACAGUUGACUGGAUGGGACUGUGUGACUUUUAAGGACAUUUCAUCACUCAUCUGUGUGAACUGAUUUAUAUAUGAGGUUAAUGUAUUUUUUAUGAUAAUUAUUUUCAUUGAAUCUUAUUCGUCUUGAUGCUACUUUAUCAACUUUAUAGUCUAUGCUUCAAUAAAAUGAAAAUGGUGAA